AAACUUUCAACAACGGAUCUCUUGGUUCUCGCAUCGAUGAAGAACGCAGCGAAAUGCGAUAAGUAAUAUGAAUUGCAGAUUUUCGUGAAUCAUCGAAUCUUUGAACGCACAUUGCGCCCUUUGGUAUUCCAAAGGGCAUGCCUGUUUGAGCGUCAUUUC
rnacentral:rRNA from 2 species